rnacentral:lncRNA from 1 species
UCUCAGGCAGGAGUGGGAACAAGCCUGAAAAUCUCCAUCUCCCCAGAGGGGCAGAGUAGAAGUUUGGAAAAGGCUUCCAGAUGACUUUGAUAUGCACAUAUCCCUUUUCUAGAAUUGAGAACCACGGCCUCAAGGACCUCUCUGCGCUUUGGGGAAACAGACCUGAUUUGGUCCUCCUGGGUUCCUGAAAAGAAGUCCUCUUUACAGCCCCAGAGUCUUCUUUCCUCUCCAGGCUCUGGAAGCCCCACAGUCAACCUGCGUAGUCUACCUGUGCUACACACCCUCUGCAACCCAGCACUGCCAUAUCAAAAAUAAACAUUCCGGCUUCCACAAAACGGCUUUGCCCUGCUGAGCGGACCUGAUGGGGCAUUUUCAACAUGCUUAUCAAGGUAUCAAGAUUGGACGGCUGGGACGAGGCCAGAUAAUGACAGAACUUUCCCUCAGAAAAUGUCUUAAAUGUCAUGGAGCGGUUAUUGAAGGCCGUGAUGGGUUGGAUUAAUAUGGACUUGUUUGCACUUGGAAGGAUUACUGAGGCAGUGUGUAAAUGAUGGGUUUACGGGAAUGAAAACAUCAGAAAGAUCUGUUAGGAAGCUACUUAAAUAACCCAGCACAGGAGAGAUGACAGUUUAAACCAAGAGAAGUCGGCUGGAGAUGGAAGAGUAGAUUUGAUGGCUACUUAGGGAAAAGCAAUUGAUGGGACCUGCAGCUUGGUUAGAUGUUGAGGGGAAAGAAGAGAGAAACCUCUGAGGCUUCUGCAUUAGGUAAAUGGGGGAAGGCGGUGAGGUUAUCCAUAAGAGGGAAAAUGCAUGGAAAGCCAGUUUAUGGAGCAGGAGGACGUGUUCCGUUUUGACAUGCUUGACUCGAAGUGUUUUGGAGACACCCAAGAAGGGGACCCAGUGAGCGUUAGGGGAGGGUCUGUCAUGCCCAGAAGAGAGUUAUUAGCUCUCAGGUGGCAGCAGAAGCCAGGGGGUUGAACCAAAUCACACAGAAAGAUUGGAUGCUGUGAGAAAAUAAGGCCACAGAUGAAGUCAUAAUGAAUCCCAACAUUUUAUGACAUGGACCCAGGAACAGAAGACCGCAAAGUGGGCUGGGAUCUGUGAGCCCAGAAAAGCAACGUUCCACCAAAGUCAAGGGAGGCUGGAAUGUCAAAUUGGAGGUGUCUAGGAGUGUCAAAUAUUGCAGAAGGUGUUAAAAAGGACCGAAAAGUGUCUGCUGAGAUUUGCUAUCCAGAAGGUAAUUAAAACUUGAUGACAGUACUUCCAGUUGAGAAUUAAUUGCCUCCAAGUGUUAUUCACAAAGAUUCUGUGAGGCUGGAUGGGCGGUGGCCAUUCGUAAGGCUCAUCUUUUAAAGAAGUUUAACAUUGAAAUUCUACAUAUCUCUGUUUCAUAGAAAUAUGUAUAUAUGUAUAAAAUCUCUAGUAACAUCUUCGUUUUCUAGCCAAGUUAUGUUUCAGUUCAAUAUUAUUAAGAUGUUAUUUGUUUUUUACUUCCCUCCAAAUUGAAGUGUGGUUAAAAUUGGUGUGACGCAUGUCAAGCUAGUGCCGAUCACGUUUAGGAAUUAGGCUCAGCUCUAAAUGAGUAAUGCUAAUGUUUGUUGAAAUCUUGAAGCCCUGACUUUCUGUUCAGAAGAAGAGCAGUGAACUCCAUCUCCUCUUUAACUGUUUGGGCCACUGCUAGGGCCCUGCAGCCAGCAAUCCCACAGUCUCUCCUGCUGGAUUAAGUGGCGAUGCCUGACACGGCCUGGUAUUUGGGGUGGGGAGGUAGGAAAUAAUAAGGAGUGAUUUCAUUUGUUUCUACAAAUUACAGCUGGUGUGCUGAGUCCUUCCUUGGGGCCUUGUGUCAAGGGCUCGGGACCCUGCUGGGGCAGGGGAGGCAGCUCCUGCUCAAUUGCUAUCAGUGAUGAGUGUGACAUGUGCAAUGUACAAGUCCCCUAAAUGUUUACAUGCCAUGAUGAGGCAUUUAAAUAGGUAAAAAAUUAAAAUCUAUACUUUUUCUGUCUUUAAAGCACAGCUCAAAAUGGCCUCUGCAGAAUAAAUGGAAUGAGCUAGGUGUGGAACUCCAGGCACAGCGGUCAAUUAAGGGCUGUUCAUUAACAUUUCAAGCACUGCAGAUAGGUGGGUCUUAGCAGCUGGAGUUAAGUAGUGUGUUCUGAUAGAUAUUCCUAUUGUGAAUUCUUCAUUGGUUACUAUAAUCUUUACGGAAGCCUAAACCACUUCUCAAAUAACUUCACCUUACAUUGUUCCAAAAAGAAAGAAAAGCUAUCUAUUCGAAGCUAGUUUAAAGAACAAUUAUUUGCCUGUGACCUGCCCUGGGAGUGUGCCUCUAUGCUCAGCUCACGUGCAUUUGCAGACACAUGCCCACAGGCUGCCAGGAUCUGAAAUCCACAAAUGGGUCCUUAAGUCAUAACUGACGACAAAUGUGUAACCAGAUUAAAAUCUCGCGACAUUUCUUAAACUGCUUUUACUGUAGCUCUGGAAACGUUGGUUUCAAAAAUCAGUCGUGUCACUGUCACUCUUGGAAUUCGAGAGCCCAGAGUCUAAAAGCCAGAAAGGUUGUUCAGAGCUUGGUCUCUGGCCUCUAGAGCUUUCCCAACAUGGGAUGGGCACACGCCUCAGGCACAGAUGACUUCACUCCCCAAAGACUGAACCAGAGAACUCCAAGGUUCAACUGAUCAUCUGCCUUAUUUUAUCCAUUAGUCUACUUUCAUUUGUUAGAAGAGACACAGUUUCUUUUUAUCUCUGUCUUCUCCUGACUAAUUCUAUUAGAUCAGCCCUCAAAUACAUCAUGUGAUUUGUACAGGGAUAUCAUUUUUAUUCUUUUUUUUUUCGGUCCCCUUUCACGUACCUCUAAUCAUUUUUAUCCUUGAAUGGCAUAAGUCAAACUUUUG